rnacentral:lncRNA from 1 species
CUCUCAGCCAGAUUUUACUGGGUCCAGUGUAAAUUUUGCCUGUCUGGUCUAGCCUUAUCCAGUGUUCUGUUGCUUUGUUCAAACUGGAGACAGAAAAGCACCAGCUAGUGUCUGCCUAACUAUAGCCUUCGAAUGUCUGUACUGCAGUGUUACAUUGUCCUUGACUUUUAUUUCCCUCAGAUUGAGCACAGAAUGCUUCUCAGAUAGAUGCAAGUCUGGUUCUGCUUUAUUUCUUACCAAAGAGAGAGUGCACAUCAAGAAACAUGAAAACCAGGCAGCUUCCUUUCUCCAAGAAUAGUUUCAGGGGCCAAGAAGGCUGGGAAACUGGGGUCAGGAGCAGAAGAGUCACAGCUCGGGCAAGCCAUAGCUGUGUCCACCAUCAGAAUCAUCCAGCACUACUUGUAGAAAGUACUUGAUCUUACAGCAGUAAAAGUAAUACCUUGAAUAUGACAGGAAUCACAAGUGAUUGGAAUCCUGGCAAUUUGUUUUAAAGCUAUAUUGGUAAGUAUAGCUUAACUACUAUAGAGAUAGACUUUAAAGCCAGCUUGCAGCAGGAUCCUCGUGUCAGUCACAUUGAUUCUGUAGCCAGCCCUGUGGGCAUCCUGCACCAGCAUCAAACACCACAUGACUGGUGCAUAAAAGACCGUCUGCCAGAUGGAAGCCACCCCUGAAGUCACCUGAGCUAAAAAUCACAGGUGUGAGGACACUUGAAACUUCAUAGUGAGAACUCCCAAACUCCAUCUGACCAUGCUUUUUAAUGGGACCUCAAGUUCCCAUCCUAGUUAAAGGUGAGAUUCAGCGGCUCAAUGGAAGAAUCUCCUGGGCUUUCCUACCACACACUUGCCUCAGAGAAGGCCGCCGCCACCCAGUCCUCUGGCUUGUCCUAGAGCAGGUCCACGGGGAUUAAUGGAACUUCCUUCUUAACAGAGAUCUUUGGGAAGAAGAUUUGCU